rnacentral:rRNA from 1 species
CGCCAGACUCCUACGGUAUUCAGCAGUGGGUAAUAUUGGGCAAUUUUCUCAAGCCUGACCCAUCAACGCCGCUUUAAUUAAGAAGGCUUUCUUGUUGUAAACUUCUUUUCUUGGUUACUAAGAAAGUGACUUUACCCAAGGAAUAAUCCACGGCUAACUACUUGCCAGCAUCCUCUUUAAUACGUAUUUUUCAAGCGUUAUCCGUAUUUAUUUUUUGUAAAGGGCGUUUAUGAGGGAAUGCAAGUAAGAUGUGAAAAAUAGGGGCUCAAAAAAUAGCCUGCAUUUGAAAAUGUAUUUCUUGAGUGAUGGAGAGGCAAUAGGAAUUCCGUGUGUAGCGGUGAAAUGCGUAGAUAUACGGAGGAAAAAAAGUGGCGAAGGAGGAUUGCUGGACAGUAACUGACGAUGAGGAGAGAAAGCGUGGGGAGCAAACAGGAUUAGAUACCCCGGUAAAC